rnacentral:lncRNA from 1 species
AAUGAUGGAGACAAUGGAGAGGAUAAUGGAUGAUCCUUUUGCUUACUCGGGAGCAUGGCCAUCGCCUCCAUUUACCAGCGAUGGUGCUGGGUACAGUAGGGGAAGAACUCCAUGGGAGAUCAAGGAAGGGGAAAAUGAGUAUAAGAUGAGGUUUGACAUGCCGGGUAUGACGAAGGACGAUGUGAAGGUGUGGGUGGAGGAGAAGAUGUUGGUUGUGAAGGCUGAAAAGGCUGAGAAGGUGAAGAAGGCUAGUGAAGAAAAUGGGAAGGUUGAAGAAGAAGAGGGAGAUUGGUCUGCUAAAAGCUAUGGGAGAUACAGUAGCAGAAUUGCUUUGCCUGAGAAUGUUCAAUUUG